rnacentral:sRNA from 1 species
UGGAGGGAGUUUUAAAGUCUUUUUCCAGUCAUCACCAGGUCUAGAGAGAAUAUUGUAAGCAUGAAGUUAUCACAAUUCAUAGCUUCCUCCUUAAUAAUACAAAUGAAACACCUCAAAUAGAACCAUCCCUCUAACAAGCACAAUGAGUUUAAUACACUCAAACACUUAACACAAUUAGCAAAGGCAUCAACUUCAGGAACGUGUUCUUGGGAACUCAUUAAGGAAGAUGAAGACUUAUCACCAGGGCUGGAGUAACCAAGUGUUUGUCAAAAUGUGUUUUAUUUCAUCCACAUAGUUGGUUUUUUGUUUGUUUGUUUGUUAGCAGCAAACAUUUAACCCCUAAAUUUCAUGUAAAGGCUCAGAUUCUGGACUUUCUUUUAAAAACUGCUAGAUUCAAUCCACAGCACUUUAGGAAGACACACUUUGGCAAUAAUGUUUCAAAUUCCUGUAUGGUAACAGUUUGGUAGACCUGAGUAACUACAUUAGCCCCCUUUUUUGUAAUGCUAAGAAACUGAACCCAGGUCACUGGACAAGCUGGGGAAUUUCCAGUGGAUUAC